GGACACCAUGGAAGGUAUACACUCUCCCUCUCCCUACUGUACUACUGCUCGUUGUGUCCAUGACCAUUGAGCCACGCUAGGUUCUAUGCUGUUGUCGAUGCAAAUUUAUAAGACUUGGGGAUGUAGGCUUUAGUAGAUAUAUUUAGCAAUAAAUAAAUAUGUCGGUUGACACAAAACUGUUUGACUGUAGGUGUACAAAAUUAGCAAUGGAUCUCUAGGCUGGUGAUGACCAUGUAAAUUCGUUUCAGUGGAUUUGGGGCUGUACGUUUGUUCCAAAGCAUGGUGAGCACAUGUAGGUUUGUUUAUUUCCUGUUGGAUGACUGAAACCAACUAGAGCUAAAUGUUUUGGUUCAGUUUCCGAUGACAAACUAUUUUGGUUCAGUUUGCUAAUUAAAUGGAGAAGAGAAGAGAAGUAGUACUGUCACUCACAUUGCCUUUGAAUGCACAACAGCGCUUAGGCUACUGUUCAUAUAAUGUUAUUGAGCCAUGUUGUUCUGCAGGCUAUGUCAUAUAUUGUGGCGUCUGGAUUAGUAAACACUCAUGCCGGCAUAUUUUCAGAAUCAUAACAGGGACGUAGUUUGCUACAGUUCUAAGUUAUGAUCCUAAAUUUAAACUUGAUGGUGCUCAAAUUAAAGUACAUUUUGGGCAGUGUAAUACAACACUUGCGAAAACUGAAGAUUUGGUACAGAGUCGCAAAAACUGCAAAACUAUUGGUAAUGCAGAAAAAAUAUAUUGCAUGGCCUUCAACCUUUGUACGUGUCUAAUAUCCUGCCUUUAUCACUACUUGCAUCAUGUCAAUGCAUUAUGUGUUAACAAUUCAUUUUGUUAUUUUCUUUGCUGAUUGAAAAGGUAUAUGGAUGAUUAUAUGGGUGCGUAACAAGUAUACUGCAACGAUGAUGAUGAUAUUCUGGUUCAUGAUGAUGGAUGCUUUCAAUUUUAGUUAAGUUGUGGGACGUUCCUGUUGGACGAUGUUCC
rnacentral:lncRNA from 1 species